UUGACAGCGCUGGAAAUUGAAGUUCCUUUUUUAUCUACAGAACAGGUACAGCAUGUACAGAGGCAACAUAAACCCAGGCUGAUGAUGUGUCUUAGCUCUGUCUUGGGCUUAGCAACGUGAAGGGAAGAGGGAAUAAGCUGCUCCUCAUGGCUCUGUGACGUUGUGUUGCUGCU
rnacentral:sRNA from 7 species